rnacentral:rRNA from 1 species
CCCGCUGAACUUAAGCAUAUCAAUAAGCGGAGGAAAAGAAACUAACAAGGAUUCCCCUAGUAACGGCGAGUGAAGCGGGAUGAGCUCAAAUUUAAAAUCUGGUAGUCUUUGGCUGCCCGAGUUGUAAUCUAGAGAAGUGUUUUCCGCGCUGGACUGUGUACAAGUUUCCUGGAUAUGGAACAUCAUAGAGGGUGAGAAUCCCGUCCUUGACACAGACUCCCAGGGCUUUGUGAUGCGCUCUCAACGAGUCGAGUUGUUUGGGAUUGCAGCUCAAAAUGGGAGGUAAAUUCCUUCUAAAGCUAAAUAUUGGCGAGAGACCGAUAGCGAACAAGUACCGUGAGGGAAAGAUGAAAAGCACUUUGGAAAGAGAGUUAAACAGUACGUGAAAUUGUUAAAAGGGAAACGAUUGAAGUCAGUCGCGUCUACUUGGACUCAGCCUUACUUUGGUUUGGUGCAUUUCCUUGUUGAAGGGCCAGUGUCCAUGUCGAUUGCUGGAAAAGGUUCAGAGGAAUGUGACUCUUUUAGAGUGUUAUAGCCUCGGUUCAUAUACAGUGGUUGAUAUGGAGUGGUACAGCAUGCUUCGGUGGUGCUUGUGCUGGCAUAAUGGCUUUAAACGACCCGUCUUGAAACACGG